rnacentral:rRNA from 1 species
UACGAAGGGGGCUAGCGUUGCUCGGAAUCACUGGGCGUAAAGGGUGCGUAGGCGGGUCUUUAAGUCAGGGGUGAAAUCCUGGAGCUCAACUCCAGAACUGCCUUUGAUACUGAGGAUCUUGAGUUCGGGAGAGGUGAGUGGAACUGCGAGUGUAGCGGUGAAAUGCGUAGAUAUCUGGAGGAACACCGGUGGCGAAGGCGGCAUCCUGGACCGAUAUUGACGCUGAUGCGCGAAAGCCAGGGGAGCAAACGGG